rnacentral:rRNA from 1 species
GAUGAACGCUGGCGGCGUGCCUAAUACAUGCAAGUAGAACGCUGAAGCUUGGUGCUUGCACCGAGCGGAUGAGUUGCGAACGGGUGAGUAACGCGUAGGUAACCUGCCUGGUAGCGGGGGAUAACUAUUGGAAACGAUAGCUAAUACCGCAUGACAACAGUUAUUGCAUGAUAACUGUUUAAAAGGGGCAAUUGCUCCACUACCAGAUGGACCUGCGUUGUAUUAGCUAGUUGGUGGGGUAACGGCUCACCAAGGGGACGAUAGAUAGCCGACCUGAGAGGGGGAGCGGCCACGCUGGGACGGGGACACGGCCCAGACUCCUGCGGGAGGCAGCCGUAGGGGAUUCUCGGCAAUGGACGGAAGUCUGACCGAGCAACGCCGCGUGAGAGAAGAAGGGUUUCGGGUCGUAAAGCUCAGGUGUAAGAGAAGAACGAGUGUGAGAGUUGAAAGUGCACACUGUGACGGUACCUGACCAGAAAGCGACGGCUAACUACGUG